rnacentral:rRNA from 1 species
AGCGAACGCUGGCGGCAGGCUUAACACAUGCAAGUCGAACGAUCCUUCGGGAUAGUGGCGGACGGGUGAGUAACACGUGGGAACGUGCCUUUAGGUUCGGAACAACACAGGGAAACUUGUGCUAAUACCGGAUAAGCCCUUCGGGGAAGGAUUAUCGCCUUAGUAGCGGCCCGCGUCUGAUUAGCUUGUUGGUGAGGUAAAGGACUCACCAAGGCUACGAUCAGUAGCUGGUCUGAGAGGAUGGCCAGCCACCAUUGGGACGUGAGACACGGCCCAAACUACCUACGGGAGGCAGCAGUGGGGAAGUCUUGCGCAAUGGGCGGAAAGACCUGACGCAGCCAUGCCGCGUGGAUGAUGAAGGUCUUAGGAUUGUUAAAAUCCUUUCAGCGGGGACGAUAAUGACGGUACCCGCAGAAG